GGGGGUAUAGCUCAGUUGGUAGAGCGCUUGCAUGGCAUGCAAGAGGUCAACGGUUCGAUUCCGUUUACCUCCACCA
rnacentral:tRNA from 1 species